rnacentral:rRNA from 1 species
GACGAACGCUGGCGGCGUGCUUAACACAUGCAAGUCGAGCGGAAAGGCCCUUUCGGGGGUACUCGAGCGGCGAACGGGUGAGUAACACGUGAGUAAUCUGCCCUUGGCUUUGGGAUAACCACCGGAAACGGUGGCUAAUACCGGAUACGCCCACUCCCGGCCCCGGGUGGGGGUGGAAAGCUUUUUCGGCCAGGGAUGUGCUCGCGGCCUAUCAGCUUGUUGGUGGGGUAAUGGCCUACCAAGGCUUCGACGGGUAGCCGGCCUGAGAGGGUGACCGGCCACACCGGGACUGAGACACGGCCCAGACUCCUACGGGAGGCAGCAGUGGGGAAUAUUGGACAAUGGGCGGAAGCCUGAUCCAGCAACGCCGCGUGAGGGAUGACGGCCUUCGGGUUGUAAACCUCUUUCAGUACCGACGAAGCGCCGAUGAUGGCGGUGACGGUAGGUACAGAAGAAGCACCGGCCAACUACGUGCCAGCAGCCGCGGUAA